UUUUUUUAUACCAAGAGGACUAGCUUGUAAUUUUCAAGCUAAUAGCCAAAACAUUGAAGGAUAAUUAAGGGUGUGUUUGGCAUCAUUGCUGUUUUUGUUUUUUUUUUUUAUGUUUUUUACCCCAAAAUAAAACAAAACAGUGUUUGGUAAAAUAGCUUAAAAUAACAACUUUACAUCUAUUUUGUAAAAACUACAACAAUAAACCUAAAACAUCUCAAAACAGUUUUUAGGGGUUUUUUAAAAAUAAAUAAAUAAAUAAUAAUAAAAAAUAUAUAUAUAUAUAUUAAAAAAAAAAAAAAAACCUAUCAAAGCUACGCUUUUCAUCAAUGGUUUCUCCUUCAAAUUCGAUAUUACAUCUUUCUUCCUCAAACCUUAAUCAUUCUCAAGAUUGAAGAAGCAAGCAAUUAUAGAAAGAGAUACGAGGCGUCCAAGUAAAAUGGUGAAUUGCGGCUGUGGCUUUCCCUGUGCGAAGAGGACCUUCUGGACUCAUGAUAAUCCGGGAAGAAGGUUUGAGGCUUGCAAAAAGUACAACCACGACACUGGAGAAAGAGGUUGCAACACUUUCAAAUGGCUGGAUGAGGAGCAAACAGAGUGGCAACGUGAGGUGAUUAAUGUAUUACUUGCUGAGAGGCAUAGGAGGGCAACCGAGUUGACUAUUGUGAAGGCUAGACUUUCUUGCCUUGAAGAUCACAAUAUUCUUCACAGGGGAAUGCAAAGAAGCUUUGUUCCAUAAAUGCUGGGGGGUAUAAGCUAGCUGUCUUUUGUGUUGUUGUCUCUGUGUUUGUUAGUGUGGUGUUGAUGAAAAUGUUUGGGUAGUUAGAAUGCUAGGUCUGCUGGUUUGGUAAGUAUGUAGGGGUUAAAGCAAGGUUGGUAAGUUGUUGAUUUUAGCUAAGUAGACUUUGUUAUUUUGGUGGGGGGGGGUUAAGUUAAGUGAAAUGCUAAGAAUGUGGUGUAUUUUGUACCCCUUUUAUGAAAUCAAAAAACAAGCUUUUGGUAUCAAUCAUAUUUUGGUUCAUGUUCAUU